GAGUAAAUUUUAAAAAGAAAAAAUAAAAAAAAAAUUUUAUAGAGAAUUAGUAAAGUAAUUGAAUUUUAAAUAAAAUAAAUAAGAAUAAAUUUUAAUAAGUAAAUUUAAUUUAUUGUAUCUUGUGUAUCAGAGUUUAAAAAAAAAGAAAAAAUUUUUUAUAUUCUCGAAAAGAACUAAGAGAUAAAAAUUUAAUUUUUGUUAAUGUUGAAAAAUUAUAAAAAAUUAAUUUUUAGAGAUUAAAAGUUAUUCGGUUUUCUUUAUAUCUAGUUUUUAAAGAAAUAAAUUUAAUUUAAUUUUUAUUUUAUAUAUAAAAGUAUUUAAUUUUAUUUUAUGAUAAAUAGAUUUUUUAAUGAAUUAUUAAUUUUUUAAGAUAUAAAUAAAAUUAAUUAAAUAAAGGGUUAAGCUUUUAUUUAAAUUUUUUAAAUCUAUAGGAUUUUAAAAAUAAAUAAAAUUAUAAAAUUAAAAUUUUUUUUAAAUUAGAGUUAUUAAUAUAAUAUUUAUUUUAUUUAAGUUAAAUAUUUAAAUUUAAAGAUUAAAAAUUUAUUUAAAAAUUAAUAUUAAUUUGAAUUAUAGAGAUUAAAUGUUAGAAUAAGUAUAAAAUAUUUUAGAUUAAAAAAUAUUAUUUAAAAUUAAAAUAAUGAAUUAGGCAAAAUUAAAUCAAUUUUUUAAAAAAUUUAAUUAUUCCACUUGUUUAACAAAAACAUGUCUUUUUGAAUUAAAUUUAAAGUCUAAUCUGCCCACUGAAAGAUAAAUUUUAAAGGGCUGCAGAAUUUUAACUGUACAAAGGUAGCAUAAUAAAUUGUUUUUUAAUUGAAAACUAGAAUGAAUGAUUUAAUGAGAAUAAUACUUUAUGUUUUUAAUUUAUAGAAUUUAUUUUUUUUGUAAAAAAACAAAAAUAAGUUAAAAAGACGAGAAGACCCUUUAGAUUUUAAUUAUUUAGUUGAUUUGAUAUAAUUAUAUAUAUAGUGUUUUAUUAACAAAAUAAUUUGAUUGGGGUGAUUUAUAAAUUUAAAUAACUUUAUUUAAAUAAGUUUAAAAAUUUUGAUUGAAAAAAUAUAUAUUUAUAUUAACAUAUAAAUUUAUGAGAUUGAUUUAGUUAUAUGGAUUAAAGGAUAAAAUUACCUAAGGGAUAACAGCGUAAUUAAAAUUUUUAGUUCUUAUAGAAAUUUUAGGUUGCGACCUCGAUGUUGGAUUAAGAUUAAUUUAAAUUGAAGAAAGUUUAUAUUUUAGUCUGUUCGACUAUUAAAAUCUUACAUGAUCUGAGUUCAAACCGGUGUGAGCCAGGUUGGUUUCUAUCUUUUAAUAUAAGAAAAUACUUUAGUACGAAAGGAUUAAGUAUUUAAAAUAAUAAAUUUUUAUUUUGUAAGAAAUUUAUUAAUAUAUUUGUGAAAGAGUUUAAGUUUUAAAAAUAAAUAU
rnacentral:rRNA from 1 species